ensembl:lncRNA
AUGGGUCAAACACAGCGCCUGUGGCUACUAGCAAGUUUAUGUCAGGUGGUCUUGCUAACCUGUGAAAAACAUUCAAACACUGUUGAGGUUGAAGUUCUUUUUCAGCCCUUAAGUCAAGAUCCAGACAGCUACAAGGUCACCUGCAGACCUGCGAGUAACCAUCUGGUAUAUGUGAAGAGCUUCAAUAACUCAGCAUGCUCCCAUCACUGCAGGAUAUUAUUGAGAAUGGCUGAGGAUCAGAAGGGGUAUAACAUCACGCUGAGAGCCAGCAGGAGUGAUGCAGUGCUCGAGACAAAGACCUUUCACUUCCUCCCAGUGUCCACGUCCUCCUUUAAUGUAUACAGCACAACCACUACUGCCCUUCUGACAUGGAAGCUUCACAGGCUGCAGACCCUGUCCUCCAUAAGCCUGUACAACACACGCACAGAAACUGUCGUGCACAGCUUCAAUAUAAACUCUUCAGAAGUAAAAUCCCAGUAUACAAUGAAAGGUUUGCAGCCGGGCACACGCUUCAAGGCCAAAGUCACAGUGACUACAUACCUCAAACAGUUUAAUAUAACCUUGAAGCAGAGACUCAGAAUUCUUCUGGAAACAGCUCAGUGCCCACCUGGCUGGAUGGCCAUUGGGGGCAGCUGCUACAUUGUGAGAAGAACAGGCUUGACCUGGAGUAAUGCACAGCACAGAUGUUCAGACCUUGCAGCUGGAAGUCAUCUGGCUAACCUGAAGAGCCUGGAAGAUCUGGUUUUUAUAUCUUCUUACCUCCUGUCCCAGAACAACUUGCUGCUGCUAUGGACCGGACUUAAUGACCAGCAGGAGGAGGGCCGACCUCUCUGGUCUGAUGGCUCAUCAUAUAACCAAACAAACACUAUGAAGACUCUGCUACCAGCCAACCAGACGGACUGCUUUGCUUUCCAGAGGAAUGCCACAGGGCCGGGAUUCUUUCUCACUCCAUUCUUCUGUAACAUCCCCUUACCCUUUAUCUGCCAAUAUCAAAGUGACAGAGGACCUGGUAGAGCUUCGUUGGAGUGAUCUCUCACUCUGUAACUCGCCUGCUCAUUCAUCAUUUGAGGUAUUCCUGCAGUACCAAGAGGAAGAAUACGGAGAGUGGGAUCCAAGUGAAGAAGAAAGGCAAAGGAAGCAAAUGGGCACAAAGAACCAGAGCACUCCUAAAAAAAUUGUAAGGGUCCCCAUUUCGAUCUCUUCUAGAGGCGUAACUUUAGCAGGUUUAUCUCCAGGAAGCAUCUACUCCUUCACCCUUCAAGCUUCUCACCCUCCAGGCUUCGCUUGGAGCUUGGGACAAACACAAAUUGCAUAUACCAGUGAGUGUAUUGAUGACCACUUACACAAUUCAAAGAACAUUAUAUUAAUCGAGGCUGACUUUUAAUAUUUACACUGCCUUUCUUACAGGACCUCAUCCUGCUCAAAAUAUCACUGUUGGUCCCGUUACAGCCAGUCACAUUAGCGUUCAUUGGAUGCUGCCAGAAGCGUCAUCUGUGGCUGGCUGGACUUUUGUUGUACGAUAUGAAGACAUGUCUUCGAAACAGGAUGGUGUAGUUGGCAUGGCAAACAUCUCCAAGUCAUCUGGGUUGAGGUCCUAUACUGCAGUAAUUGGAGGGCUGGAAUCUCACAGGAAAUACAGGAUUGAAGUAUACACAGUUACCCAGCAUGGGAUAGGGAGCUGUGGACAGGCAACUCUAACUGUAAAAACUGGUAAGCAUGUAAAUAUUAGAUUCAUGAACAAUUUCUAAAAGCUUGUUGUACAGUAAGUACUGUCUGGUGCCAUGCUCUACCUACUUUUAAAUUAUAUUCUAGGAAUGAUCUUAUACUUUUUAACAAUCGUAUGGCUUAUUUGAAAUCUCUGCAAAUACUGAUAAGAUAAGGUAAAUUCAAAUGCAAACUUUACAGAAAAUUUAAAUUAUUCUACACAUUAGUUGCUCAUGUAAGCAACCUUUAGGUCUGUCCAGUUUACUUAAGCGUUGCUGUGAAGUGGAAGACAGU